UUGAAAUGCUGGAAUUCUGAUAUUCUGAGAUUUUCAAGCAAAACUUCUAGGACUAUAAAGUGACAACUGACAACAUGGCAAUCAACACAAUGGUUCAGAUGCCCUAUGGUCAAGAGACACUCGCACCAUAAAAUUGCAAUACCGGUGAGCUGUGAAAAUUAAUUCGCUCGGCUUGGUCAAGAGCCCUAUGGUCACGCAAGCCACACGAUGAUGUCCCUUCUUGAACCGCCAUUCCAAGAAACUGAGACUGGGGAACAAUCAGCACCCACAGAAACUGCAAGCACCACCCUCUGUUAUUAAGUUGGUAAAGCUCUACUCGCCUCAAACACAAACUUCUCCAUUCAAACCACAGAAUGCACAUGGCUAAUGUGGAAAAUCAACAAAACCCCAAUCUGCUACUAUUAAUUGUUGCCGAGGUGUAGAAACAUAGUUACAAUGAGAUUGUUAAUGAUUACGGUGGAGAACAACUUCGUCAUGACCUUGUGGGAGGGGCAGUGGCAAUGUAGACGAAGCUGCGGCCGCUAGUGCGCACGAACUCGGAGCCGGUGACGCGGCCGAUGGAGCCGAACACGACCUCCAGAUCGACCACGGACAUGCUCUCCGCCAGCCCGACGACGUCCAACGAAAUGGACUAUCUGCAAAAGAAUUGAAAUGCAACAGUCAUAUGCAAAUAUAUUAGAUAAAAGACGACUGAGUUCCCAAUUAACAUUUGCACCACAUCAUAUGAAGCAUUGUGGUAUGAUCUAGCACCAAAUUUUGGAUUUCAAAAAAAGUUCGUGAAGAUGAACCUCAAGGACCAAAAGAUCGGCAUGGGCCCUCCACUGAUAUGUGCACUCUGUCAGGCGGUGUGUGCAGAGAAUGUGUAACCUUAGAGCUGCUGAGGCGGGAGGCACUACAGUCCAUCCGCGUCCACAAUAUCGGCCUUACUUCUACUCCAGCGCGAGCUCCAGUACGCAGGUGUGAGCAUGCCAAAGUAGGCUGAAAUUCCCAAUCCGAGAGGGCGAGGCCAUGGUCGCACUCUAGCGAUCCCUCACCACUCUUCCUGCCCCCUCUCUUCUUCUCGUUGCCUCUUCCUCCUCGUUUCCUUCUCCCAAUCCUCCUGCACUCUAUUGUAGGUGUAGUACUCUCUACUCUAUUUCUCGCCUCCUCCUCGUCGUUCUCUACCCUGUUCCCAAU
rnacentral:lncRNA from 1 species